UACGGGGGGGGCAAGCGUUGUUCGGAAUUACUGGGCGUAAAGGGCUCGUAGGCGGCCAACUAAGUCGGAUGUGAAAUCCCCAGGCUCAACCUGGGAACUGCAUCCGAUACUGGAUGGCUUGAAUCCGGGAGAGGGAUGCAGAAUUCCAGGUGUAGCGGUGAAAUGCGUAGAUAUCUGGAGGAAUACCGGUGGCGAAGGCGGCAUCCUGGACCGGCAUUGACGCUGAGGAGCGAAAGCCAGGGGAGCAAACGGG
rnacentral:ncRNA from 2 species